rnacentral:rRNA from 1 species
UACGGGAGGCAGCAGGGGGAAUAUUGGACAAUGGGCGCAAGCCUGAUCCAGCAAUGCCGCGUGUGUGAAGAAGGCCCUCGGGUUGUAAAGCACUUUUAUCAGGAGCGAAAAUCUGCAAGGUUAAUACCUUUGUAGUCUGACGGUACCUGAGGAAUAAGCACCGGCUAACUCCGUGCCAGCAGCCGCGGUAAUACGGAGGGUGCAAGCGUUAAUCGGAAUUACUGGGCGUAAAGCGUGCGUAGGCGGUUCGUUAAGUCUGCUGUGAAAGCCCCGGGCUCAACCUGGGAAUGGCAGUGGAUACUGGCGAGCUAGAGUGUGUCAGAGGAUGGUGGAAUUCCCGGUGUAGCGGUGAAAUGCGUAGAGAUCGGGAGGAGCAUCAGUGGCGAAGGGCGGCCAUCUGGGGACAACACUGACGCUGAGGCACGAAAGCGUGGGGAGGCAAACAAGGAAUUAGGAUACC